UUAAUGCUGCUGCUCCACUCUUCACUUACAAUUAUGUGUCUAGAUGAUGUAGCCUGCUAGUACAUUUUUAUUUAGGUGACUAAGUUUUGGAAAACCAUUAUCUUGUCACUCAUGCUUUUAAGUAUAAAUGUGUAACUGCAGAGCCUGAACUCUCACCAAUGUUUUGAAGAAUGUGCAUGACUUUACCAUAACAGGACCCAUAUGCAAGAAUUUUGUAAAUAUAGACUGCAAGGGUACAAACGCACACCUCCAUAAUCACCUGAAGCCCAGAACUGCCCUCCCGACGGCAGCAUCCUCCCUGGCCAGUUGCGUGAUUGCAUAAUGGUCUGCAAAAGUGUGCACCAAUGACCAGGUUGCUGCUCUGCAGCUUUCCAAGAUUGGCACGCAGGCCAGGAACGCCGCCGACGUUGCCUGGGCUCUAGUGGA